AGGGUUCGAUUCCGGAGAGGGAGCCUGAGAAACGGCUACCACAUCUAAGGAAGGCAGCAGGCGCGCAAAUUACCCAAUUCUAACAGUUUGAGAGAGGUAGUAACAAGAAAUAACAAUACAAGGCAAUUAAAAUGUUUUGUAAUUGGAAUGAUAGAAAUUUAAACCCUUUUUAAAGUAUCAAUUGGAGGGCAAGUCUGGUGCCAGCAGCCGCGGUAAUUCCAGCUCCAAUAGCGUAUAUUAAAAUUGUUGCAGUUAAAAAGCUCGUAGUUGAAGUUCUGCUAAAAGUAACCGGUCUGCUUUUAAUAAAAGUGGUAUCUUGGUGUGUAUUUAGCAAUGAUGUCCUUUGAAGUGUUUUUUACUUUAUUGUAAUAAAGCAUAUUCAGGACUUUUACUUUGAGAAAAUUAGAGUGUUUCUAGCAGGCCGACGCUUUGAAUACUGCAGAAGGAG
rnacentral:rRNA from 1 species